rnacentral:ncRNA from 1 species
CAAACCCCGACUUCCCCGACUUUUGGGGACUUUUGGGAGCUUUUGGGAGGGGGGAGGGGCGCAUUGGGGCGCAUUUAUUAGAUAAAAGGCUGACGUGGGCUCUGCUCGCUGAUCCGAUGACUCAUGAUAACUCGACGGAUCGCAUGGCCUUUGUGCCGGCGACGCAUCAUUCAAAUUUCUGCCCUAUCAACUUUCGAUGGUAGGAUAGGGGCCUACCAUGGUGGUGACGGG